UCCCUGGUGGCUCAGUUGGUAAAGAAACUGCCUGCAAGGCAGGAGACCCAGGUUUGAUCCCUGGUUUGGGAA
rnacentral:tRNA from 1 species